rfam:Echinops telfairi cont1.323891, whole genome shotgun sequence.
AAAGCAAAAUUUACAAACUGCAGCCUGUUCUUGUGUAUACCUUUCAAAAGACAUAUUCAUCAAGAGCUCACUU